rnacentral:snoRNA from 1 species
AAGCUAUGGUGGGGGCACUGAAACUGAUAACUUUUGAAGCGUUCCCAGGCUUCACAAAGCGUUCCCUGGAUCACCUCGAUGAGUUU